UACGUAGGGCGCAAGCGUUAUCCGGAAUUAUUGGGCGUAAAGAGCUUGUAGGCGGUUUGUCGCGUCUGCUGUGAAAAUCCGGGGCUCAACCCCGGACUUGCAGUGGGUACGGGCAGACUGGAGUGUGGUAGGGGAGACUGGAAUUCCUGGUGUAGCGGUGGAAUGCGCAGAUAUCAGGAGGAACACCGAUGGCGAAGGCAGGUCUCUGGGCCACUACUGACGCUGAGAAGCGAAAGCAUGGGGAGCGAACAGG
rnacentral:rRNA from 1 species